GGGUUGUGAGGUUAAGCGACUAAGCGUACACGGUGGAUGCCCUGGCAGUCAGAGGCGAUGAAGGGCGUGCUAAUCUGCGAUAAGCGCCGGUAAGGUGAUAUGAACCGUUAUAACCGGCGAUACCCGAAUGGGGAAACCCAGUGUGAUUCGUCACACUAUCAUUAACUGAAUCCAUAGGUUAAUGAGGCGAACCGGGGGAACUGAAACAUCUAAGUACCCCGAGGAAAAGAAAUCAACCGAGAUUCCCCCAGUAGCGGCGAGCGAACGGGGAGGAGCCCAGAGCCUGAAUCAGCAUGUGUGUUAGUGGAAGCGUCUGGAAAGGCGCGCGAUACAGGGUGACAGCCCCGUACACAAAAGCGCAUGUGCUGUGAGCUCGAUGAGUAGGGCGGGACACGUGGUAUCCUGUCUGAAUAUGGGGGGACCAUCCUCCAAGGCUAAAUACUCCUGACUGACCGAUAGUGAACCAGUACCGUGAGGGAAAGGCGAAAAGAACCCCGGCGAGGGGAGUGAAAAAGAACCUGAAACCGUGUACGUACAAGCAGUGGGAGCACAGGUUUACCUGUGUGACUGCGUACCUUUUGUAUAAUGGGUCAGCGACUUAUAUUCUGUAGCAAGGUUAACCGUAUAGGGGAGCCGUAGGGAAACCGAGUCUUAACCGGGCGUUAAGUUGCAGGGUAUAGACCCGAAACCCGGUGAUCUAGCCAUGGGCAGGUUGAAGGUUGGGUAACACUAACUGGAGGACCGAACCGACUAAUGUUGAAAAAUUAGCGGAUGACCUGUGGCUGGGGGUGAAAGGCCAAUCAAACCGGGAGAUAGCUGGUUCUCCCCGAAAGCUAUUUAGGUAGCGCCUCGUGAAUUCAUCUCCGGGGGUAGAGCACUGUUUCGGCUAGGGGGCCAUCCCGGCUUACCAACCCGAUGCAAACUGCGAAUACCGGAGAAUGUUAUCACGGGAGACACACGGCGGGUGCUAACGUCCGUCGUGAAGAGGGAAACAACCCAGACCGCCAGCUAAGGUCCCAAAGUCAUGGUUAAGUGGGAAACGAUGUGGGAAGGCCCAGACAGCCAGGAUGUUGGCUUAGAAGCAGCCAUCAUUUAAAGAAAGCGUAAUAGCUCACUGGUCGAGUCGGCCUGCGCGGAAGAUGUAACGGGGCUAAACCAUGCACCGAAGCUGCGGCAGCGACGCUUAUGCGUUGUUGGGUAGGGGAGCGUUCUGUAAGCCUGUGAAGGUGUGUCGUGAGGCAUGCUGGAGGUAUCAGAAGUGCGAAUGCUGACAUAAGUAACGAUAAAGCGGGUGAAAAGCCCGCUCGCCGGAAGACCAAGGGUUCCUGUCCAACGUUAAUCGGGGCAGGGUGAGUCGACCCCUAAGGCGAGGCCGAAAGGCGUAGUCGAUGGGAAACGGGUUAAUAUUCCCGUACUUGGUGUUACUGCGAAGGGGGGACGGAGAAGGCUAUGUUGGCCGGGCGACGGUUGUCCCGGUUUAAGCGUGUAGGUGUGUGUUCCAGGUAAAUCCGGUUCACUUUAACACUGAGGCGUGAUGACGAGGCACUACGGUGCUGAAGCAACAAAUGCCCUGCUUCCAGGAAAAGCCUCUAAGCAUCAGGUAACAUCAAAUCGUACCCCAAACCGACACAGGUGGUCAGGUAGAGAAUACCAAGGCGCUUGAGAGAACUCGGGUGAAGGAACUAGGCAAAAUGGUGCCGUAACUUCGGGAGAAGGCACGCUGACACGUAGGUGAAGUGAUUUACUCACGGAGCUGAAGUCAGUCGAAGAUACCAGCUGGCUGCAACUGUUUAUUAAAAACACAGCACUGUGCAAACACGAAAGUGGACGUAUACGGUGUGACGCCUGCCCGGUGCCGGAAGGUUAAUUGAUGGGGUCAGCGCAAGCGAAGCUCCUGAUCGAAGCCCCGGUAAACGGCGGCCGUAACUAUAACGGUCCUAAGGUAGCGAAAUUCCUUGUCGGGUAAGUUCCGACCUGCACGAAUGGCGUAAUGAUGGCCAGGCUGUCUCCACCCGAGACUCAGUGAAAUUGAACUCGCUGUGAAGAUGCAGUGUACCCGCGGCAAGACGGAAAGACCCCGUGAACCUUUACUAUAGCUUGACACUGAACAUUGAGCCUUGAUGUGUAGGAUAGGUGGGAGGCUUUGAAGUGUGGACGCCAGUCUGCAUGGAGCCGACCUUGAAAUACCACCCUUUAAUGUUUGAUGUUCUAACGUGGACCCGUAAUCCGGGUUGCGGACAGUGUCUGGUGGGUAGUUUGACUGGGGCGGUCUCCUCCUAAAGAGUAACGGAGGAGCACGAAGGUUGGCUAAUCCUGGUCGGACAUCAGGAGGUUAGUGCAAUGGCAUAAGCCAGCUUGACUGCGAGCGUGACGGCGCGAGCAGGUGCGAAAGCAGGUCAUAGUGAUCCGGUGGUUCUGAAUGGAAGGGCCAUCGCUCAACGGAUAAAAGGUACUCCGGGGAUAACAGGCUGAUACCGCCCAAGAGUUCAUAUCGACGGCGGUGUUUGGCACCUCGAUGUCGGCUCAUCACAUCCUGGGGCUGAAGUAGGUCCCAAGGGUAUGGCUGUUCGCCAUUUAAAGUGGUACGCGAGCUGGGUUUAGAACGUCGUGAGACAGUUCGGUCCCUAUCUGCCGUGGGCGCUGGAGAACUGAGGGGGGCUGCUCCUAGUACGAGAGGACCGGAGUGGACGCAUCACUGGUGUUCGGGUUGUCAUGCCAAUGGCACUGCCCGGUAGCUAAAUGCGGAAGAGAUAAGUGCUGAAAGCAUCUAAGCACGAAACUUGCCCCGAGAUGAGUUCUCCCUGAGACUUAGAGUCUCCUGAAGGAACGUUGAAGACGACGACGUUGAUAGGCCGGGUGUGUAAGCGCAGCGAUGCGUUGAGCUAACCGGUACUAAUGAACCGUGAGGCUUAACCUUACAACGCCGAAG
rnacentral:rRNA from 1 species